AUUGCGAAUGAACAAGGAAAUGCUCAGCUUGAAAAAUGGGGCCUUUGGCUUUGAAUUGUAAUUUUGAAAUGUAUUGCCAAUGGAGGCGCAGGUGCAAGCCUAUUGAAAGAAAGCGUCAAUGAGGGUGAGAUUCCUUUUUGUCAUUUGCAGUCCUCCGUGCACGGUAUAUAUUUGACGAGUCACACUCCUCGGCAUUGGAAUGCAAAGUGGGUGGUAAAUUCCAUGUAAAGGUAAAUAUAUUAUUGAGACUGAUAGCAAACAAGUACCAUGAGGGAAAUAUGAAAAGGACUUUGAAAAGAGAAUUAAAAGAGUCUGCAUUUGCUGAACAGAAAGCAAACAGAAUUGAUUUUACUUGGUGAGAUUGUUGUGCUUACUCUAUCAUUUAUAUGGUUGAUGUGGGUGCGAUGGUUCUUACCUUGAAUGUCAGCUUCUAUUUCUGCAAAUCAUUACCCUUGCACAUGAAUGGUAAUUUGCCUGCGGGUAUUGGAAUGCAUGUGUUUGCAAUGAUUUGUGAUUUGACGCAUGUGUUUGGUGAAAUUUGUAUAUGCUCUUUUGUCGAAGGGGAAAGCUUACUUUUUUGAGCAUUGCAAGCCCUUACACAUCAGUGCUGGCAAAAUGUUUCUGCUUGACCCGUCUUGAAACACGGACCAAGGAGUCUAACAGAUGUGCAAGUUCGUGGGUGGCAAACCUUUUUGCGCAAUGAAAGUAUUGGCUGGGAUACUUGCACCAGCAGCCGACCAAUUAGCAGACAGAGGUUUGAGUUUGAGCAUAUCUAUUAGGACCCGAAAGAUGGUGAACUAUGCCUGAACAGAAUGAAUUCAGAGGAAACUCUGAUGGAGGUUCGUAUCGAUACUGACGUGCAAAUCGUUCGUCAUACUUGGGUAUAGGGGCGAAAGACUAAUCGAMCCAUNUAGUAGCUGGUUCCCUCAGAAGUUUCCCUCAGGAUAGCUGGAGUUGCACAGUUUUAUCAGGUAAAGCGAAUGAUUAGAGGAAUUGGGGNCACGCUGUCCUUGACCUAUUCUCAAACUUUAAAUGGGUAAGAUGCAAUGGUUGCUUUAUUGAACUUUUGGAAUAAAUGGCAAUAUCAGGUGGGCCAUUUUUGGUAAGCAGAAUCUGGCGAUGAGGGAUGAACCUAACGUUGGGUUAAGGUGCUUAAUUGCUUGCUCAUUAGAUACCAGAAAGGGUGUUGGUUCAUUUUAACAGCAGGACGGUGGUCAUGGAAGUCGAAAUCCGCUAAGGAGUGUGUAACAACUCACCUGCCGAAUGGACUAGCCCCGAAAAUGGAUGGCGCUCAAGCGGGUGACCGAUACCCAACCACUGUUGCAAAUAGUGUCAGUGUGUAGGAGGGCAUGGCGGUUUG
rnacentral:rRNA from 1 species